rnacentral:lncRNA from 1 species
UCGUUAGAAAGGCACAUUUAAUAAUGAUCGUGAGGCGGUAAACAGUAAAGGGAAAUAACCCAUCAAUCAUACAUGUAUAAUCAUGACACAUGGAGUAAGGGAGAUAAUACAGAUUAAUACAUGUGACAAUCAAUACAAUACAUUGGCGCAACUUCUUUUCUCCUUUAAAGUCUCUCUCUCUCUCUCUUUACAAUUGUCAACUAAUAAUCUCUGUUAUUAUAAGAACAUGAAUAAAAAUAAAUGUUAUCAAUAUGCAUAAACUAAACACAUAGCUAUCAAUAAGAAACAAAAUAAUUCUGACAUUUUUUUUUUCCAUCUCCUUUAAAGUCUCUAUAUCUUC